rnacentral:rRNA from 1 species
UACGGAGGGUGCAAGCAUUAAUCGGAUUUAUUGGGCGUAAAGGGCGCGUAGGCGGGGGUGUCAGUCAGACGUGAAAUCCCGGGGCUCAACCUCGGAACAGCGUUUGAUACUACAUCUCUAGAGGGUAGGCGGAGAAAACGGAAUUCCACAAGUAGCGGUGAAAUGCGUAGAUAUGUGGAAGAACACCGGUGGCGAAGGCGGUUUUCUAGCUUAUACCUGACGCUAAAGCGCGAAAGCAAGGGGAUCAAAUAGG